AAAUUUAAGUCUUCUAUUGGCAUUUGAUAGUACUCUUCUUGUAUAGGUAAGACAAGGUUUAGAUUUGUAGAAUUUCAUGAAUAUAUAGUUUAGAUUCCUCAAAUUUAGGGCAUUUUUUACACUGCUAUAUGAGUGAUUUUGCUAGGACAAAAGAAGCAGAUAAUUAGACACAGAAUGAAUUUGGGCAUUGCAUGAACGCCUAGUUCCAACGGCAUGUAUCGAUAUGAUCCUACUAGCAACAAUAAAGACUCGUUGCCAAAGCAAUCGUAGCAUAGUGUAUUGCUAAGAGAUAGCAUAAAGGAUGAGAUCAAUGAACGAGAAUAGCAAAUCAAUAGAAGAAUAAAGCUAAAUUCAUGCAUCAUUUAACUAAUUUAGUUAGUAGUAGAUCAGUGGCGCGCAAAUCAAAACAAACAACAAAGAUUAAGAAUAUCAAACAACGGGCAAAUAAUAGACCUGAGAAAAUGGACCUGGUCGAAU
rnacentral:misc_RNA from 1 species